GAGUUUGAUCAUGGCUCAGGACGAACGCUGGCGGCGUGCUUAACACAUGCAAGUGGAGCGACGAACCAGGCUUGCCUGGGGCAAAGCCGCGAACGGGUGAGUAACACGUGGGUAACCUGCCCCGAAGACCGGGACAACCCGGGGAAACCCGAGCUAAUACCGGAUGUGGUCACCGUUCACAAGAACAGUGAGCAAAGGGAGCUUCGGCCCCCGCUUCGGGAUGGGCCCGCGGCCCAUUAGCUUGUUGGUGAGGUAACGGCUCACCAAGGCGACGAUGGGUAGCUGGUCUGAGAGGAUGAUCAGCCACACUGGAACUGAGACACGGUCCAGACUCCUACGGGAGGCAGCAGUGGGGAAUAUUGGACAAUGGGCGCAAGCCUGAUCC
rnacentral:rRNA from 1 species